rnacentral:tRNA from 1 species
GCCUUUAUAGCUCAGUAGGUAGAGCGCAUCCAUGGUAAGGAUGAGGUCACCGGUUCGAACCCGGUUAAAGGCUCCA